rnacentral:lncRNA from 1 species
UGAAGUCGCGGCCAGGAGCGUGGCCACGCUGGACCGUGUCUGCUGCCUCCUUGGGAGUCGCAAGUGCCCACAGGACAAGCAGGGGAAACAAACUGGGCCCCUGGCUUCUGGGAAGACAGCAUGAGGGCAGACCAAGGAAAGACAGCCGAGACCAGGCUGUGCACAUUGAGGCUGAAGAAGUAGAUGCCACGCAGGGGAGCAGCAAACUGGCCGGUCGCCAUGUCAAAGCACCCAUCAAGGUUCACAAAGACCCUUUCGAAGAGCAGUGUCUGGAAGUCCUCGCCGCUGUGCAGGGCCGUCUUGCGGCCCACUGAGAAGGCGAAGAAGCGCUUCUGGCACGGGGCGCCGGGGCUGCCCAUCUCCCCCUUGUCACCCUUGCUGCCCUGAGGGCCAGGCUCCCCUUGGGGACCCUCCCUGCCCAUGUGCCCUGGCAGGCCCAUUGGGCCUGGGUCCCCUUUGUCACCUGUGGGGAUAAAAAGGGGACAAGUCAGGGUGGACAUCUGAGCCUGCUCCAAGGAGGUGCCCACACUCAUCUGUGACGGCUCUGCCCCUGUCCUGGCCCAGAGAAGA